GCGUUUUAUUAGAUUUGGAGACACUGUGAAUACUGCCAGUAGAAUGGAAUCCACCGGAACCGCUGGCAAAAUUCACGUGAGUGCGACUACGUAUGCCGAUGCGUUAAAAAACCCUGCACUGAAAUUUGAGGACCGUGGGGAAAUCGCUGUUAAGGGAAAGGGAACCAUUAAUACAUACUGGUUGGAAACAGUCGUCGGAAAGCGCGACAGCGUACGG